CAGAAGCUUUGAGCAGGGCAGGCACUCUCCAGAGUGCGUUUCAGACCGCUGCCCGCCUGUGGGAACUGGGCUGCCUCACAGGCCGGGCUCUGCAGGCGCUCAGUGGGGAACUAGACCGGAAACCUUUAGGGGGUGGCUCUCUGCAUCCUCUGGGACCCAGAUGGGAAGCGGUGGCUUCCUCUGGUGUCCUUAACGAAGAUUCUCGUUCACAUUUCCAAAGUUGCUUUGUUCAGCUUUGCAAGUUAACAAUUCAUGGAUGAGAGCUGCAGAUCUGGUCCCUCCUGACAGUGAACAGCAAGGUUGGGUCAGGGAGGGCAGAGGAGGAGGUGAUGAUCAGCCAUCCGGAGUGGUAGGAGUGGAAUUCAGAUGUCGCAGAGGUUCCCGCCCAGCCAGGCUCCUGGAGGGGAGGGGAGGCUGCGUGUUAUCGCUCAUGCCCAGUAGCCACACGGAACUCAGAAGCUGUCAGCCAGGAUCUGAACUUGCAACCUGAGAGGUGGAUGGUGGUGGGACAUGCUGGUGGGCAGGAGCUGAGGACCUGGGCGGCAGAGCCAGGACAUCCCUCCCUCAUCUUCAGUGUCCCGCUGGAAGUGGAGGAAAGCGAGGCCCAGCACGCGCAGUCCCGGGGGGCUUCACCAUCCAUCUGCUGUGGUCCCGUGGGGCUCUACUCCAGCCCCUCUCACCGGUUGCUAGGCUUCCAUGGACUGAGCUCUGGUGGAAUGAUUGUAACUGAUCCCGAAGCUUGCACAGUGCAUGGUGACCAAACACGGUGGCUCCGCUGGCUCCAUCUGGUACUGACCGCCUCACAGGGUCAGAUGAGGGCUGGAUCCCGCUGGCCAGCCGGGCCUGGGGGGCCCUGAGCUGGG
rnacentral:lncRNA from 1 species